rnacentral:rRNA from 1 species
AGUCGGACGAACUUAAUCGUUAGUUUACUAAUGAAGCGGUUAGUGGCGGACUGGUGAGUAACACGUAAGCAACCUGCCUAUUAGAGGGGAACAACAGUUAGAAAUGACUGCUAAUACCGCAUAUGCCAUAAGUAUCGCAUGAUACAAGUGGGAAAGGAGCAAUCCGCUAAUAGAUGGGCUUGCGUCUGAUUAGAUAGUUGGUGGGGUAACGGCCUACCAAGUCGACGAUCAGUAGCCGAGUUGAGAGACUCUACGGCCACAUUGGGACUGAGAUACGGCCCAGACUCCUACGGGAGGCAGCAGUCGGGAAUAUUGCGCAAUGGAGGAAACUCUGACGCAGUGACGCCGCGUGCAGGAAGAAGGUUUUCGGAUUGUAAACUGCUUUAGACAGGGAAGAAAAAGACAGUACCUGUAGAAUAAGCUCCGGCUAACUACGUGCCAGCAGCCGCGGUAAUACGUAGGGAGCAAGCGUUAUCCGGAUUUAUUGGGUGUAAAGGGUGCGUAGACGGGAAAAUAAGUUAGUUGUGGAAUCCCCAUGCUUAACAUGGGAACUGCAACUAAAACUGUUUUUCUUGAGUGCUGGAGAGGAAAGUGGAAUUCCUAGUGUAGCGGUGAAAUGCGUAGAUAUUAGGAGGAACACCAGUGGCGAAGGCGACUUUCUGGACAGUAACUGACGUUGAGGCACGAAAGUGUGGGGAGCAAACAGGAUUAGAUACCCUGGUAGUCCACACCGUAAACGAUGGAUACUAGGUGUAGGGUGUGAUAA